GAUGAACGCUGGCGGCGUGCCUAAUACAUGCAAGUCGAGCGAACAGACGAGGAGCUUGCUCCUCUGACGUUAGCGGCGGACGGGUGAGUAACACGUGGAUAACCUACCUAUAAGACUGGGAUAACUUCGGGAAACCGGAGCUAAUACCGGAUAAUAUAUUGAACCGCAUGGUUCAAUAGUGAAAGACGGUUUUGCUGUCACUUAUAGAUGGAUCCGCGCCGCAUUAGCUAGUUGUAAGGUAACGGCUUACCAAGGCAACGAUGCGUAGCCGACCUGAGAGGGUGAUCGGCCACACUGGAACUGAGCCACGGUCCAGACUCCUACGGGAGGCAGCAGUAGGGAAUCUUCCGCAAUGGGCGAAAGCCUGACGGAGCAACGCCGCGUGAGUGAUGAAGGUCUUCGGAUCGUAAAACUCUGUUAUUAGGGAAGAACAAAUGUGUAAGUAACUAUGCACGUCUUGACGGUACCUAAUCAGAAAGCCACGGCUAACUACGUG
rnacentral:rRNA from 1 species